GAUGAACGCUGGCGGCGUGCCUAAUACAUGCAAGUCGAGCGAACGGACGAGAAGCUUGCUUCUCUGAUGUUAGCGGCGGACGGGUGAGUAACACGUGGAUAACCUACCUAUAAGACUGGGAUAACUUCGGGAAACCGGAGCUAAUACCGGAUAAUAUUUUGAACCGCAUGGUUCAAAAGUGAAAGACGGUCUUGCUGUCACUUAUAGAUGGAUCCGCGCUGCAUUAGCUAGUUGGUAAGGUAACGGCUUACCAAGGCAACGAUGCAUAGCCGACCUGAGAGGGGGGUUCGCCACCCCUGCACCGAGACCCCGGCCAGACCCCCACGGGAGGGCGCCGUAAGGGAUCUUCCGCAAUGGGGCGAAGCCCGACCGAGGCAAGCCGCCGGAAGUAUUAAGGUUUUCCGAUUCGAAAACCCUGUUUAUUGGGAAAGAAAAAUGUGGUAAGUAACUGUGCCCAUCUGGCGGGUACCAAAUCGAAAGGCCCCGCCAACCUCCGG
rnacentral:rRNA from 1 species